AUGGAUUUGCUGGUGAAAACUGUCAACUUGCUGCUACUCAGUGUAGUAGUGUCAGAUGGUGAAAUUGUCCUCACUCAGUCUCCAGCAUCCAUGACCACAUCACCAGGGGAGAAAGUCACUAUCACCUGCAGUGCCAGCUCAAGUGUAAGCUCCAAUUACUUCCACUGGUGUCAGCAGAAGCCAGGAGCCUCCCCUACGCUCCUGGUUUAUGGAAGCUCCAACGUGGCUUCUGAAGUCCCAGCUUGCUUCAGUGGCAGUGGGUCUGGGAUAUCAUAUUCUCUCACAAUCAGCAGCAUGGAGGCUGAAGAUGCUGCCACUUACUACUGUCAGCAGAAGAGCAGUGAACCAUUCACACAGUUCUACAAAGCAGAACAAAAAACCCUUUGGCCUUCUCAGGACACCACUGCUUCCCUCUUAAAAAUACUAUAUGGUCAAGAUGUUGAUUGA